rnacentral:lncRNA from 1 species
UAUAUAUAUAUAUAUAUAUAUAUAUAUAUAUAUAUAUAUAUAUAUAUAUAUAUAUAAAUGAAUAUAUAUAAAUAUGUGUAUCAGUACACAAAUUCUAUGACUAAUUGUUAAUAUAAUGAAUGUUAUUAUUAUAAGCAACUAUGUGUAUAAUUGUUAUUUUUUUAUAACUGCUAUUUUCUAAAAUACAUAUGCAUUUUUUACAUACAUACCAUAUUAUUAAUAAAAGUAUAAAACUUACUAUAAAUUUGUUUAAAUGUUAGUAUUUGUCAAUAUAUUUUUUAAUUGUAAUUAAUAAGUAAUUUUAUAAGACAUGAAACAGUUCAGUAACUGAAGAAUUUUAAAAAUAAAAUAGACAAAUUCAUUUUAUAUUCAAUGAAUGAAUGAUAUUUGCUUGUAUUUAAAACUAAAAGAAGAAACAGUUACAGUUUUUCUUUAUAAGGGGUGAUGAAAUCUAAUUAUAAAGCUAUGAUUUAAAUAAUAUUAGAAAAAUAUUUUCAAAUAACCAUUUAUUUUCAUUAUUAUAACAAAACCUGCACUUAAAAAUAAAUUAUAAAAAA